UGUUCUACCCAUGACUGGUUGAAUCCAAGGAUUUGGAACUCACAGACCAUACUUGCUUCUUAGGAACAAUAUCUGAGCCUCAACUUCUUGUCAACUUGACGAGGAAAAGGAGGUUCCAAAUGGUCAUGGUACUUGCUGGAAUCAUACAACUAGUGAGAAGCAAGAUCCACUGUCUGAACUCUUAAGAACCCAUGCUCACGACCACUCAACUCAGUCCUGAUAUCCUCAAGGAAAAGAAGAAGGCCCACAAAUGUGGAGAUAAACUUCUCUUACAGCUGGCCAAUUUGGUGAAGCAGAAUAGUGGCUAAGCUUUUCUAGUGAUGGCCUUGCCCCAGAGAUCCCGAACAUCAUUCAU